rnacentral:rRNA from 1 species
AUUGAACGCUGGCGGCAUGCUUUACACAUGCAAGUCGAACGGCAGCACGGGGCAACCUGGUGGCGAGUGGCGAACGGGUGAGUAAUGCAUCGGAACGUACCUUUCAGUGGGGGAUAACGUAGCGAAAGUUACGCUAAUACCGAAUAUUCUGUGAGCAAGAAAGCAGGGGAUCGCAAGACCUUGCGCUGGUUGAGCGGCCGAUGUCAGAUUAGCUAGUUGGUGAGGUAAAGGCUCACCAAGGCGACGAUCUGUAGCGGGUAUGAGAGGGUGAUCCGCCACACUGGAACUGAGACACGGUCCAGACUCCUACGGGAGGCAGCAGUGGGGAAUUUUGGACAAUGGGGGCAACCCUGAUCCAGCCAUGCCGCGUGAGUGAAGAAGGCCUUCGGGUUGUAAAGCUCUUUCGGCCGGGAAGAAAUCGCACGGGCUAAUACCCUGUGUGGAUGACGGUACCGGAAUAAGAAGCACCGGCUAACUACGUGCCAGCAGCCGCAGUAACAC